GAAAAUACAUAAUGGAAACAGUACAGAAGAGAGGGACAUAUUUUAAAUGACAUCAUAUGGAUUUAACUGAAACCUGAAGCAUCAGAAUUGAAAUCUAAAGCAUCAGAAAUCAUAGUAGGAGACAAAUCAACUAAUUUGCUCAUCAAGUAUUUUCUGAAAAGGUGGAUUGCUGCUUCAAAGGACCUGGACCCAGAGGCCCUGUCCAUGAAUGUUUCUUGCUUGGUUCCGAGGCCACCAAACAUACUGGCUGAGCCUUCUGUAUUCACCCUGGCCUAUCAAUGCCAUCUAUGAGAGCAGCCACACUGAGAGAGCAGCAGCAUGGAGCCUACUCAAGGGGAUGGGAUCUUUUAUGAAGAAAUGGAUUGGGAAGAAAAACAUAAGAUAAGGUUGGAACCUCUUCUGGUGCAAGAAGGUCCUAAAUAUUACUGAGGAUCUCUCAUCUUCUAGGUGAAGCUCACAAAAUUGCCCUGGAGGUUGCUGCCUUCCUGGAAGCCAGAGUGAAAAAAAAAAAGAGGACAUGCAGUUGCACAUGGGAGGAUUUUGUGGGCCAUGGUUAUCAGGGCACAAUCCCUUAGCUCACCUUUCUCUGGUGAGAAAACACUUCCAGUGCCACACCUCAGUCUCCUCCCUCUGGUGAAAAAAACACUUCCAGUGCCACACCUCAGCCUCCUUCCUCUGGUGAAAAAACAGUUCCAGUGCCAUACCUCAGCCUUUCCUCUGGUAAAAAACACUUCCAGUGCCACACCUCAGCCUCCCUCCUCUGGUGAAAAAACACUUCCAGUGCUACACCUCAGCCUCCUUCCUCUGGUGAAAAAAUACUUCCAGAGCCACACCUUACCCUCCUUCCUCUGGUGAGAAACUACUUCCAGUGCCACACCUCAGCCUCCUUCCUCUGGUGACAAAACACUUCCAGUGCCACAACUCAGCCUCCUUCGACUGGUGAGAAAACACUUCCAGUGCCACACCUCAGCCUCCUUCCUCUGCUGAGAAAACACUUCCAGUGCCACAGCUCAGCCUCCUUCCUCUGGUCACAAAACACUUCCAGUACUACACAUCACUGCUGGAGAACUGGAGAGUGGAGUCUUCCAGCCCAAGAAGAAAGAAAUAUAGGAUUUUGUCAAGUACCAGAAGUUUCUGCCACACUCAGUGGGCAUUCUUUGAGUUAGUUUUUUUAGUAUAUUUCACUAAAAACUGUGAGAGAGGAACCCUUAAUAUAGGUCCUGCAAAAAACAAGUAUUCAAUAAAUCCUGUUGAAUCAAUAAAUGAAUCACCUCUUCCAAAAUAAGCUUAAUUGUUUAAGUUACUAGCAAAAUGCCUAAAUGAAAAUUAACCAUUCUAUAGAGACAUUAUUGAGUUAGUUCAUUCAGCCAUUCAAUAAAUGUAUUCAGUGUAUGUUUAUAGAAUAACUAUAAUUUACCAACUGUUUUAGGCAUGGGGGGUACAGCAGUGAAUAAAAUCAUCCAACUACCUAUUCUAACAGAGAUUAAAUUCUAGUGGUACAAGCAGCAGACGAACAAAUGAAUAAUUUCAUAUAUUCAUCCAUGCAAUAAUAUUGAAAAUUUUAUUUUCAAUAAAUAAUCAGUGGUCCUCAACCUUUUCGGCAUCAGGGAACAAUUUUGUGGAAAACAAUUUUUCUACAAACGGGUGGGAGAAUGGUUUCAGGAUGAUUCAAGCACAUUACCUUUAUUGUGCACUUUAUUUCUAUUAUUACUGCAUUGUAAUAUAUAAUGAAAUAAUUAUACAACUCAUCAUAAUGUAGAAUCAGUGGGAGCCCUG
rnacentral:lncRNA from 1 species